rnacentral:rRNA from 1 species
GCGGUGAAAUGCGUAGAUAUCGGGAAGAACACCCGUGGCUAAGGCGGCUCUCUAGUACGGUACUGACGCUGAGACGCGAAAGCGUGGGGAGCGAACAGGAUUAGAUACCCCGGUAGUCCUAGCUGUAAACGAUGAUCGCUGGGUGUGGGGGGUUUUUACUCCCUCCGUGCCGAAGCUAACGCAUUAAGCGAUCCGCCUGGGGAGUACGGUCGCAAGGCUGAAACUCAAAUGAAUUGACGG